UACAGAGGUCUCAAGCGUUGUUCGGAUUCAUUGGGCGUAAAGGGUGCGUAGGCGGCGCGGUAAGUCGGGUGUGAAAUCUCGGGGCUUAACUCCGAAACUGCAUUCGAUACUGCCGUGAUUGAGGACUGGAGAGGAGACUGGAAUUUACGGUGUAGCGGUGAAAUGCGUAGAUAUGCGGAGGAACACCGGUGGCGAAGGCGGCGCUCUGGACCGAGACUGACGCUGAGGCGCGAAGGCGUGGGGAGCAAACAGG
rnacentral:rRNA from 1 species